AUUGAACGCUGGCGGCAGGCCUAACACAUGCAAGUCGAACGAGUGGCGGACGGGUGAGUAAUGUCGGGGACACUGUCUGAUGGAGGGGGAUAACUUCUGGAAACGGUAGCUAAUACCGCAUACCAUCAGAGGUGCCCAGAGGGGAUUAGCUAGUAGGUGGGGUAAAGGCUUACCUAGGCGACGAUCCCUAGCUGGUCUGAGAGGAUGACCAGCCAAACUGGAACGGAGACACGGGCCAGACGCCUACGGGAGGCAGCAGGGGGGAAUAUUGCAAAAUGGGCGAAAGCCGGAGGCAGCAAGGCCGCGUGUAGGAAGAAGGCCUUCGGGUUGUAAAGUGCUUUCAGCGGGGAGGCGUUACCCGCAGAAGAAGCACCGGCUAACUCCGUGCCAGCAGCCGCGGUAAUAC
rnacentral:rRNA from 1 species